rnacentral:rRNA from 1 species
AUGAGCGGGUGUAACAGCAGUCAUACGCCCAUGGAGUGCAGGCUCAAGCUAAGAAAAGAAGAUGAAGCCAAGGCGUGCGACGCCUCCCUCUAUCGCAGCGUGAUCGGGAGUCUAAGGUACCUAGUUCACACACGUCCAGACAUCACACAUGCCGUUGGAAUUGUGAGCAGGUUCAUGGAGAAGCCAACCACAACUCACUGGGCAGCUGUCAAGCAAAUCUUGAGGUAUGUCCGAGGGACCCUAAACUAUGGGUGCAGAUAUGUGCGUGGUGGCAGUGGUGUUUUGCUUGGAUUCAGUGACAGCGACCACGCUGGGGAUGUUGGUGACCGCAAGAGCACUUCUGGGCAGAUCUUCUUUCUUGGGGACAACCUUGUUUCCUGGACAUUGUAG